GGAAACUAAGCAUAAGAAUCAAUAUGAAACAUCAAAAGGUUUCUAAAAGUUGACAAUAAAUGAAUAUUGUGAUUUGAAAUUAUUUUUUAGAUUGAAGUUAUAAAGGGCUCUGGAGUGUUUUGCCAGGCAGAAGCAUGGAAAGCAGCCCGCCUUGCCACCUCUGCUACUGCCAUGGUGCGGAAUCUGCUAAUGGGCACCUUUGUCCUGGAGACUUUGCUGAAAAGCAACCUAAAUGGUGGGAAGCCAACCAGAGGGGAUGGGGAGCAGCUGGUUGCCCUUGACCAAAUUAAAAAGGCAGCCAUUAUUGGCAUCAACAGAG